rnacentral:rRNA from 1 species
UUUUUAAAAAUUUACUUUUUAAAAAUUUUUUAAGAAAAGAAAAUGUAAAUUUUGUUAAUUGGGGCGAUUUUUAAAGAAUGUUUAUCUUUAAAAUUAUUUUAAAAAUGAUCCAGUAAUAUUGAUUAUUUAAAAUAAAUACUCUAGGGAUAACAGCGUAAUUAUUUUGGAUAGUUCAUAUAGAUAAAAUAGUUUGCGACCUCGAUGUUGGAUUAGGAUUCUAAAAAAAUGUAGAAGUUUUUUUUAGAAGUUUGCUCAACUUUUUAAUUCCUACA